AUGGCUAUGACUAACCACAGGUCUGAGCUGAGACGUAAUGCAGAAACAGAUAUAAGAAUUGGGAUGUCUUCUACUAAGCCAGACAAUGAUUUGUUAUGGGAGAACUUGGCAGGAAGUCCUAGGGCGGGGAGGUGGGCACCCCCGGAGAUAGCCGCGGCCCGCAGCGAGUCUCGGGAUGGGGCCAAACCUGGCCUACGUGAGAUUCGCGUCCACUUCAGCCAGCACUCGUCGGGCAGCCAGGCCAGGGCGUCAGGGAACUCAUCGAGAAGCACUAUGUGGGGCUGAAGAAGGCGAACCCUGGCCUGCUUAUCCUAAUCCGCGAGUGUUCUGAUGUGCAGCCCAAACUCUGGGCCCGCUACGCAUUUGGCCAAGAGAAGAAUGUCUCUUUGAAUAGCUUCAGUGCUGAUCAGGUAACCAGAGCCGUGGAGAAUGUGCUAAGUGGCAAAGUCUGAAGCCUCCACUGAUUGUUAAGAGCAACAGCCCGACAGCUUGGGCUCUGUCGGACUGAGUACACUGUGAAAAAAGUGUUCUUCUGUUCUUUAUAAAGCUUGUGCCGA